CUACGGGGGGCAGCAGUGGGGAAUAUUGGACAAUGGGGGAAACCCUGAUCCAGCAAUGCCGCGUGUGUGAAGAAGGCCUUCGGGUUGUAAAGCACUUUCAGCGAGGAAGAAAAGCACAAGAUUAAUACCCUUGUGUCUUGACGUUACUCGCAGAAGAAGCACUGGCUAACUCUGUGCCAGCAGCCGCGGUAAUACAGAGAGUGCAAGCGUUAAUCGGAAUUACUGGGCGUAAAGCGCGCGUGGGUGGGGCUUUAAGUCGGAUGUGAAAGCCCCGGGCUUAACUUGGGAAUUGCAUUCGAGACUGUAGUUCUAGAGUAUAGUAGAGGGAAGUGGAAUUUCCGGUGUAGCGGUGAAAUGCGUAGAUAUCGGAAGGAACACCAGUGGCGAAAGCGGCUUCCUGGACUAAUACUGACACUGAGGCGCGAAAGCGUGGGGAGCAAACAGGAUUAGAUACCCUGGUAGUC
rnacentral:rRNA from 1 species